AUUAAUUUCAUCUGUGUGGAACUUGCAUUGUGCUUCUGACUGAAAUCAGCUCUCUCUCACACUGAACUGUGAUUGGUUCUUGAACUGUAGUUCAAAUUGAACAGUUACUGUUAUGUUCACGGCUAAUGGCUAACCACUAACCUGACAGCAGGUGUCCCUCAUGGUUAUGUUUAGCUUUGUUUAGUCCUGCAUCAUGUGACUGAAGCGUGUUCCUGUACCUGUUCUCACCUGCACCGACCCUCACCUGUGUUUCUACACCACGUGAGUGCUUUUGUCUCUCCGAGUCACGCUGGACACGCAGGGUUUAUGACAUCACUGAAAACAGCUGGUGGAACAACACAGACUCGACUUAUGAAAUCAACUCACACGGGUUGUUGUUUGUUACGCAGCGUUUGAUUGGUUGUUGUACUCCCAGGGCUCAGGGACCAACAGCCAAACGUUCAAAACUGUCUGAAAAGGUGGCCGUACACUUAGAAAUGCUGAUCUUUAAAGUAUUAUCUUACAAUAAUAAUAGUGGAGGGUGAAUCCGAGCACUGACCGCCACAACCAGCUGUUUUUAGAACACACACACAAAAUAACCAACUGCUCUUUUAAAGUACAAUAGAGUUUAACUUUAGCACUGAUCAAUAAUCAAUAACUUCCGCCAACAAACCACUAUUGUCUAUUCUAAACACAAUAAGCAAAAUGGCGGGCAGACCAGCGAAACUCAAACAAAAGGGGCAGAGCCAAAAUGGAGGACACACUCUAUUUGUCCUUGUCAGUGCCGACCCGUACUAGCUGCCUGAUCCGUUCUGCACAUGUGCAAAGGGGUCCUGUCAGUCAAAGGUUACCGCAAAAGUGCCUGUUCAAAAUGACUUGUGAUGUGAAUGACUCAUCAGUCCAACUCACACUCAAGAUAACAAAAUGGUUUUUAAUCAUUGGAAAUGUAAUAGUUCGGUCCGUGUAUCAUCGGAUAAUCCGGACUUCACUUGUAAUUAAAAACAAAAAAACUUAAUCUGUUUUGUUUUAAUUCAAUGUUCAUUCAAUACAAUUCAUUCAAUAUAUGGAAAAUACACGUUCCAGAUAGUAUUUCAUUAUGAAAGUUGUUGUAAAUAUACAUCAGAGUAUCGUAGAGAAAUCACAGUGUAAUCCUGUUAUAGAGUCUCUAUUUUUAACUUGGACUAAUAUAAUAUGUUGUUGUCAUUGUGCAAAUCAGGCAGUAAUAAGUACGCACAUGUGCAGAACGGAUAGGGCAGCCGGUGUCGGCACGGAUCGGGCACUGACAAGUGUCAGGUUUUUUAUAACUUAAGUAAGUUCCCUAUUACAUAAUAGUGAACUAUUGCAUUUCCAAUGAUUAAAAAUCAUUUUGUUACCUUGAUUUGAAAGAUUUAGUUUUAGUAUUUUGAACAGGCACAUUUGCGGUAACCUCCUUUGACUGACAGGACCUACUUUGCGUUUGUGUAGUGGAGGGAAGCAGCAGUCUACUUUUAGUGGGGCGAGAGCGGGGCUCAACAUCGUCCUUCUGCAGGCAAAGAAUAUAACGAUCGGGAUCCUAAAAGUGUCUCAGCAAACACAAAACAGUCUGUUGCUAGUCUGGCAAGUUAAGACCUUCCUAGGGAAAAUGAAAGUUCAACAUUGAGCGCCUCCUGUAGUAACCAGAGUUACAGUGGAAAGGCGGUGAGCGACCGGUGCACUCUGCUUUUCUAGAGAGAUAUAUUUAUGGAAUAUAUAAAAGGUUAUUAUUAUUACUAUCAUUAUUAAAGAUGGAGUGCCCUUCUGGCAGUGAGAGUAAUUACACAAACACUGUCGUUGUGUGCUGAUGAUGUAUGCCUCCAGUGAGCUCGCCCCAGGCUCGUGUUCAGAAAUAGUUACAAAAAUACAGAGAGAUUUCCAAGUAAAUGUAAUAGCUACAUAGCCUACUCCAAAUAUUUUACCAACCUGCCCAAGAGCAGUAACGUGUGUCACGUUUAAGCUUCAAGCCGGGAAACAGGGAGAGGACCCAAUGCAGACAGCAGGCAGAGCAGGUUCGGUUCUACAGUUUGAUGAAAAGAACAAGGCUUACUCAGAUUACAUGCAGGCAGCGGUCACAACCAGGUAAGCAGUCAAAAAAAGGCAAACAAGUCCAACAGGGAGCCGGCAAAAACCAAAAUCCAAAAGUCCACAAACGAAGGUGCACGAAAAAGAGCAUAAAUCCAAGAAACACAGAACACUAGGGUCGGGGAGCUUAACACAUACAAUGACGACUGUAGGGCUGCAGCAGUUCAGGGGCCAGUGAUUGCAGUUCUGGGUUUUCCAGAGUGUGCUGCAGCUCAGAGAGUUCAGGAGGCUGUUGCGGCCCAACCGGAGCAGGGGAUGGUGCUGCAGCCCAUUGAAUAGCUGAGUCUCUGUGAUGCUGGACAGCUGCAUCUCUGAGGCACUGGGCAGCUGAGUUUCUGGAGCGCUGAGCAGCGGUAAGGACGUGCAGCUGGGCAGCGGAGAGGCAUGCUGUCAGGACAGGAGCAGGCUGAGGUGCAGGCUGGUGUGAUAGCAGGCCAGAAACCAGGCUGAUGGUUGCGGGGACCUCCAAAAGACAGGCGGGUGCCCAGGCACGGGUUCAGAGCUGGGGCCGGCUCAGGCAGGUUGCAGGCUAAAAAACCCGAGCCUAAAUGACUGGAGUGCAGGCUGAGGUGAAGGCUGGAGGCUAGUGGGCUUGAUGCUAGCAGGCCAAGGUUCAGGCUGAGGAUUAGGAAUGUUAAGAAAGUCUGUGAUCCAAGCAGGUAUCGAGUUCCUUAACCAAGGUUUAGCAGAAAUGUUCUUCUGUCCCAAAGACAGAGCGGCCUCCCUAACCCUCCUCACAAGAAGCCUCUUCCCAAAAGCCUCUUAGACACAUAGUCAGAAACUAAAUCAUUUUGUGAUUUUCAUGAACAGAAUCUGAAGGUGCAGUCGAGGUGUGGAGAGUGUCGGGACGGUGACCCCAGGAUCGUAUCUCUCAUCUUUGCAGAUGAUGUGGUUCUGUUGGUUUCAUCAGACUGACCUCCAGUGAGCACUGGGACAGUUUACAGCUGAGUGUGAAGUAGCAGGAUGAGAGUCAGCACCACCCAGUCUGAGGCCAUGGUACUCUGCUGGAAAACACUGGAUUGUUCCCUCAGGUUGGAGUGAGUCACUGCCCCCAGUGAAGGUGUUCAAAUAUCUUGUUCACCAGUGACGGUCAGGUGGAGGUGAGAUCAACAGGUGGAUCAGUGCAGAGUCAGCAGUAAUGUGGACUCUGUAUCAGACUGGUGGUUCAGAGGUAGCUGAUGCUGAAGGUGAAGCUCUGGAUUCACAAGUGGAGCUCUGUUCCAGUCCUCAGCUGUGGUCCUGGACCUUGCUCAGCCUGCUGCCUCCGCGAUCUGGCCCUGGAUAAGCUGCAGAAAAUUGAUGGAUGGAUAGAUUGUCCAGAUAUGGACUUUAAUGUGAAUGAUGUUUCACAAGAACAGACGAAAAAGCUCAGCUCAGAAAAGUCCUCAGACUUAGAAAUGCACAGUAACACAGUCUGUCGUGUCAGUGACCCUGAGUUUUGACCUGACGGCGACUGAAGCACGAAGGCGUUUAAUUUGUUGUCAGACACAUCAGAGUUUCAGCUGCUGAUUCGGUCACAGAGAUGAAGGUAGAGAGACACCUGCAGACACUGUGAUUCAUCCUCUCUCUCUCCGCUAAACACACACACAGUAACAGCAGGUUUGGAGACUGAAGCUCAGCAGUCAGUCGGGUGGAAACGAGCUGCUGAAGUGAAUCCCAGACGAGCUGCUGGAAUUAAAAAGAUAAUUAACAUUCAAACACACAGAACCAAAACACAGAGAAGAGAGGAGAACACAAAGAGGAGAACAGGUAGACAGAGUUAUUUCACCGAAUAAAAGUUUCUCAACACCUCCAUAGCCCCUCCUCAUCUCAGCACCUCCUUCGAACUUCUUUAUCACUUUUACUUAAUCAAGUCAACUUUAUUUAUAAAUCAUAAUAUCACAAAUAACAAAUUUACCUCAAGGAGCUUUAUAAUCUGUACAGUAUCUGACCCUCUCUGUCCUCAGAGCCGCGAUUGUCCUCAAAUACACCUAAUGAUCUCCUCAGCACCUCCUUACAACUUAAUGGGCUCCUCAGGACCCUCUCUGAAUCUCCUCAGCACCUCCUCAGGACCUCAACACCUCUUUGACACCUCUUCAGAACCGCUUCAGUGCCUCAACACGUCCUAAGAACCUCUUUUAGAACCUCCUCAACACCAACUCAGCCUCCUCAAGAUGUCCUCAGGACUUUCUUAUCACCUGCAUUUUACCUCAACACCUCCUUAGCUUCUUCUUUCUCCUCCUUAGCAACUCCUCAAAAUUUCAACCUUCAUGGCACCUCCUCAACACCUCUGCCCUCUGGACAAAGUCAACACCUUUAGCAUUUUCUCGAGACCUUGUUAAUAGCACCUCAGCACCUCCUAAUAUCUUCUCAGCACCUCCUUGGAACAUCAAUCUCCCUGACACCUCUUGAGGACCUUCUCAACACCUCCUUAUUACCUUUAGUAGGCUAACUCCUAAGGACCAACUGAUGACCUCCUUAUCACCUCCUUACAACUUAAUGACCUCCUCAUCAUCUCGUUGGAUCUCCUCUGUACCUUCUCUGAAUUUCCUCAGCACCUUUUCAUAACCUCCUUAACACCUCCUCCAAACCUCCUCAUCACUUUUAGUACCUCCUAGGGACCUACACACGACUUCCUUAGCACCUCCUUAGAACCCCUUCAGAACCUCUUCAACAACACUUUGGACCACCUCAGGACCUUAACGCCUCCUCAGGAACUUCUUAGAACCUCAACCACCAUGACACCUCUUUAGGGCCUCCUCAGCAUCUCCUUAGGACCUCAACACCUCCUUGGCACCUCAUUCGGACCUUUUCAGCACCUCCUAAAGAACUACUCACAAUCUAUAUCAUCUCCACAGAACUUAGUGAUCUCCUCAGCACCUCCUUUGGACCUCCUCAUAAAUAAACUGUUUUCAUCAGAUUUGAACAAAAUGCAGUGACUGACAGUUAGUUCCUGUUUCCUCGCUUGGUGGAUCAGUUCAGAAGAUAAUAGAGUCCAAAGGGCCUCAAAUGAAGUGGAGAAAGAAAGAAAGAAAUCAGCGCCCAUUCACUCUUCUUCAUGGUGCUGGCCAGUGAAGCUGCAGGAAACACUUGGCCUCUACUUUCUGCGAUUUAUGAUCGCAGUUUUGAACUGAAGAGAUUCCUGUUGAUCUCAUCAUGUGAUCCUGACGAACAAGGACAAAACAUGCGCCCCCUAGAGGACACAAAGCCGUGACAGUUUGUCUGCAUUGUGUUUGAAGCCAUUAUUCCCCGGCCCUGUGUCUCCGUGGAUGUGGCGGUCUACUUCCACUGGCUCUCGACUCCUAUGCUCCCACCGACCUGACUCUCAGCCUCCAAUCACUCCGCUUAGCCAACACACCUGCCUCCAAUCAGCACAUCGUCUGCAGUGUAUCUACCCCGGCUGCUCAUCCAGUCGUCGCCAGAUUGUUGUUUCGACCCUCGUGGUAGUUACUAGUCGGCCAGCUCUUGUUCAUGCUGAAACUCUUUGUCUGUUUGCUCCGUGUUUGCUUUUGUAUCCGCUAACGUGUGUUUCUUUGUUUCUCAGGAUCACUGAUCACCUGCCUGCUCUCCGUUUGCUUCUGCCUGCCUGCCAGCCACGCUCCUCUCAGCCACGCCAUCUCCACCGCCAAUACCUCCACUGCCGUUGUGCCUGCUCCGGAUCCCAAACCCCAGCUAACACCCUCACCCUUCUUCCCUUUAGUCGAUAAAUCCUUUUAUUACAUUUAACCUCCUUUUCUGAGUCCUGCGUGUGAGUCCAGCCCUGUUUGUAAUGUAACACUAUUGCUUUUCCUGAGGUUUCUUACAUUUUUCCCUGUUAAAAGGGUUUUUGGGGGAGUUUUUCUUUAUCCAAAUCGAGGGUCUAAGGACAGAGGGUGUCGUGUGCUGUACAGAUUGUAAAGCCCCUUGAGGUAAAUUUGUGAUUUAUGAUAUUGGGCUAUAUAAAUAAAAUUGACUUGACUUACUUAAACUUCUCUACCCCAUUUAGGGGCAUAGGGCAUCCACCAGAGCUCACCAUCUCACUCCACCCCCUGACUGCUUGGGCCAAUCACCCACCCAGCAGUAACCAAGAUUACUGAAACCGAAACCAGAAGCACUCAUUCUCACUUGACUUGACUUCAUACAACCCACAAAAUAACUCAAUGAGGUAGCUGAGAAACAAUUAUAAUAAGAAGGCUAAAUUCUAUACAAUAACUAGAAAAUAUUAAAUAUAAUAAAAUAAAGAGCUAGAGACUAAAGAUAAGACUAACAUUAACUAACUGUUAACUCCAACAUGAACUGAAUAAACACUGUACAAUGUGGUAAUAUACUGUCAUAUAAUGCAGUUAUUGCUAAAAGAUGUACCAUAAGCUGCUGGUUGAUGUGAAAUGCAUUCUGGGAUACUUGUCUGCCCCAAAUCCACACAUAGUCAGCUCCCAAAGAAUCAUGGGUAAUACAGACGGCGUGAGACCUCUUCAGGUCAUUCAGACUGAACCUGUUUAGACGUGACUCUGAAUGUGAACAGAAGUUUGACUGAUGAUAUUUCAUGAAAACAGACCUGAACUGUCAAAUUGAUGUUUCACCGCUGAUCCCAGAACAGCUUUUACAAUUCAGUUCAAGUCAAUUUACACAGCGCCAAUUCAUAACAGAAGUUAUCUCAUUGCACUUUUCCUAUAGCGCAGGUCGAGACCGAAGUCUUUAUA